rnacentral:tRNA from 1 species
GGCUCUGUGGCGCAAUGGAUAGCGCAUUGGACUUCUAGCUAAAUCGAUCAAAAGAGAUUCAAAGGUUGUGGGUUCGAGUCCCACCAGAGUCG